AGAACGAACGCUGGCGGCAGGCUUAACACAUGCAAGUCGAACGCUCGUAGCAAUACGGGAGUGGCAGACGGGUGAGUAACGCGUGGGAACAUACCCUCCGGUUCGGAAUAGCUCAGGGAAACUUGGAUUAAUACCGGAUACGGCUGAGAGGCGAAAGAUUUAUCGCCGGAGGAUUGGCCCGCGUUCGAUUAGCUUGUUGGUGAGGUAACGGCUCACCAAGGCGAUGAUCGAUAGCUGGUCUGAGAGGAUGAUCAGCCACAUUGGGACUGAGACACGGCCCAAACUCCUACGGGAGGCAGCAGUGGGAAUAUUGGACAAUGGGCGCAAGCCUGAUCCAGCCAUGCCGCGUGGAUGAUGAAGGCCUUAGGGUUGUAAAGUCCUUUUAACGGGGAGAUAAUGACGGUACCCGUAGAAUAAGCCCCGGCUAACUUCGUGCCAGCAGCCGC
rnacentral:rRNA from 1 species